rnacentral:sRNA from 1 species
UUGACAGCCCUGAAGACUGAAGUUCUCUGCUUAUCCACAGAUCAGGUAGAGCAUAAGCAGGGGGCUUGUAAACUCCCCACCCUGCUGUAUCAAAAUGGCUCCACCCUGACAUGGAAGAUAACACUGCUAGUUGUAGUUCAGUCUCCAUGCCCAGUCCCCAAUCUUUAGUUUCU